AUUAAACGCUGGCGGCAUGCCUUACACAUGCAAGUCGAACGGCAGCACGGGGGCAACCUUGGUGGCGAGUGGCGAACGGGUGAGUAAAGCAUCGGAACGUGCCCUGGAGUGGGGGAUAACGUAGCGAAAGUUACGCUAAUACCGCAUAUUCUGUGAGCAGGAAAGCAGGGGAUCGCAAGACCUUGCGCUCUGGGAGCGGCCGAUGUCGGAUUAGCUAGUUGGUGGGGUAAAGGCCUACCAAGGCGACGAUCCGUAGCGGGUCUGAGAGGAUGAUCCGCCACACUGGGACUGAGACACGGCCCAGACUCCUACGGGAGGCAGCAGUGGGAAUUUUGGACAAUGGGCGAAAGCCUGAUCCAGCCAUGCCGCGUGAGUGAAGAAGGCC
rnacentral:rRNA from 1 species